rnacentral:misc_RNA from 1 species
GAAAACUCUGAAAAUUCUCAAGUGACCAAAAGAAAAUGUGAUAAUGACUGUGAUGAAAACUCUAAAAAACUUUGUCAGGUACAAGAUGAAAGCUAAAAAUGGAAAGACGUAAUAGUGCUGGUAUAUAUACAUGUAGCUAAUAAGUUAUUGUGGGCAUUUAUAAUACUUGGUUAUUUUCUAAAUACUGGGUUAUGAUUUUGAGUGAUUUUAACUUUUGUGACUAUCAUUUCUGAAAAUAAAAACUAAGUCAAUUUUUUUUUUCAAAAUCACAGUUUUAUUUGUAAAUUAUAAACUGUGUCUUCUAGAAGUACAAAAAGUGUUUUCCGUCAACAUCAACUAUAUGUACUUGUAUAAAAAAUCAGUGAGAUUGAAAUAAAUGUACAUUCAUAGUUGUGAUAAAUUCUCUCUCUCUCUCUCUCUCUCUCUCUCUCUCUCUCUCUCUCUCUCCAUGAAACAAAAAAGAAUCCUAGUAAACAUUAAAUAAAAUUGCACAAUUUAGCUCUAUGGGUUGUUCCUUGUGAAGUCUAUAUUUAAACCCCAAGUUAAGAGUCCAAGAUGAUUUGAGCAUCUGUCCCAUCCGGCAGUUUGUGUUUGUCCCCAUUAUGAAGGUAAAACUCUCUCUUCAGAAAUCCAAAAAGCAAAUCAGUAGCCAUCAGUAUCUGUAGUAAAAAUUACAUAAAUUAUCACUUUUUAUUUCUCAAAUUCAUUUUCAAGUUUAGAAUUCUGUAGGUAUAUAUACAUACUGUGCUUGAUUGACAAGAAAAUAAUAAUACUGUACAUGAAACAUGUUAUGUAUUUUUAAGACAUAUAUUAAAUAUAGUUAUAUACCAGUACUAGUAUAUAUUAUAAUUCAUGGUGUCUCAAUUUUUGUGGAUACAUCCCUUCCAUGAAUUAACACCCUUAUUAAAUUAUAAAACAA